rnacentral:rRNA from 1 species
ACACUCCUACGGGAGGCAGCAGUGGGGAAUUUUGGACAAUGGGCGAAAGCCUGAUCCAGCAAUGCCGCGUGAGUGAAGAAGGCCUUCGGGUUGUAAAGCUCUUUUGUCAGGGAAGAAACGGUGAAAGCUAAUAUCUUUUGCUAAUGACGGUACCUGAAGAAUAAGCACCGGCUAACUACGUGCCAGCAGCCGCGGUAAUACGUAGGGUGCAAGCGUUAAUCGGAAUUACUGGGCGUAAAGCGUGCGCAGGCGGUUUUGUAAGUCUGAUGUGAAAUCCCCGGGGUCAACCUGGGGAUUGCAUUGGAGACUGCAAGGCUAGGAUCUGGCAGAGGGGGGUAGAAUUCCACGUGUAGCAGUGAAAUGCGGAGAUAUGUGGAGGAACACCGAUGGCGAAGGCAGCCCCCUGGGUCAAGAUUGACGCUCAUGCACGAAAGCGUGGGGAGCAAACAGGAUUAGAUACCCGGGUAGUCCC